CAAGUCGAACGAUUAAGACUUCCUUCGGGAAGUGCAUAAAGUGGCGCACGGGUGAGUAACACGUAAGUAAUCUACCUUCGAGUGGGGAAUAACAUCGGGAAACCGAUGCUAAUACCGCAUAAUGCAGCGGCAUCGAAAGAUGACAGUUGUUAAAGGAGCAAUUCGCUUGAAGAGGAGCUUGCGGCAGAUUAGCUAGUUGGUAAGGUAAUGGCUUACCAAGGCUUCGAUCUGUAUCCGGUCUAAGAGGACGGUCGGACACACUGACACUGAAUAACGGGUCAGACUCCUACGGGAGGCAGCAGUCGGGAAUUUUGGGCAAUGGGCGAAAGCCUGACCCAGCAACGCCGCGUGAAGGAUGAAGUAUUUCGGUAUGUAAACUUCGAAAGAAUGGGAAGAACUCAAUGACGGUACCAUUUAUAAGCUCCGGCUAACUACGUGCCAGCAGCCGCGGUAAUACGUAGGGAGCAAGCGUUGUUCGGAUUUACUGGGCGUAAAGGGCGCGUAGGCGGCAAAUUAAGUCAGCUGUGAAAUCUCCGAGCUUAACUCGGAACUGUCAGCUGAUACUGAUCUGCUAGAGUGCGGAAGGGGCAAUCGGAAUUCUUGGUGUAGCGGUGAAAUGCGUAGAUAUCAAGAGGAACACCUGAGGUGAAGACGGGUUGCUGGGCCGACACUGACGCUGAGUGCGCGAAAGCCAGGGGAGCAAACGGGAUUAGAUACCCCGGUAGUCCUGGCCUUAAACGAUGAAUACUUGGUGUCUGGAGUCUCUAUAGCUCCGGGUGCCGUCGCUAACGUUUUUAGUAUUCCGCCUGGGGAGUACGCACGCAAGUGUGAAACUCAAAGGAAUUGACGGGGACCCGCACAAGCGGUGGA
rnacentral:rRNA from 1 species